rnacentral:rRNA from 1 species
AACGAACGCUGGCGGCAUGCCUAACACAUGCAAGUCGAACGAACCCUUCGGGGUUAGUGGCGCACGGGUGCGUAACGCGUGGGGAUCUGCCCAAAGGUUCGGAAUAACUCAGAGAAAUUUGAGCUAAUACCGGAUAAUGUCUUCGGACCAAAGAUUUAUUGCCUUUGGAUGAACCCGCGUAGGAUUAGCUUGUUGGUGGGGUAAAGGCCUACCAAGGCGACGAUCCUUAGCUGGUCUGAGAGGAUGAUCAGCCACACUGGGACUGAGACACGGCCCAGACUCCUACGGGAGGCAGCAGUGGGGAAUAUUGGACAAUGGGCGAAAGCCUGAUCCAGCAAUGCCGCGUGAGUGGUGAAGGCCUUAGGGUUGUAAAGCUCUUUUACCAGGGAUGAUAAUGACAGUACCUGGAGAAUAAGCUCCGGCUAACUCCGUG